GAUGAACGCUGGCGGCGUGCCUAAUACAUGCAAGUCGAGCGAACGGACGAUAAGCUUGCUUCUCUGAUGUUAGCGGCGGACGGGUGAGUAACACGUAGAUCACCUACCUCUAAUACUGGGAUAAUUUCGGGAAACCGCAUCUAAUACUGGAUAAUAUUUUGAACGGCAUGGAUCAAAAGUGAAAGACAGUCUUGCUGUCACUUAUAGAUGGAUCCGCGCUGCAUUAGCUAGUUGGUAAGGUAACGGCUUACCAAGGCAACGAUGCAUAGCCGACCUGAGAGGGUGAUCGGCCACACUGGAACUGAGACACGGUCCAGACUCCUACGGGAGGCAGCAGUAGGGAAUCUUCCGCAAUGGGCGAAAGCCUGACGGAGCAACGCCGCGUGAGUGAUGAAGGUCUUCGGAUCGUAAAACUCUGUUAUUAGGGAAGAACAUAUGUGUAAGUAACUGUGCACAUCUUGACGGUACCUAAUCAGAAAGCCACGGCUAACUACGUG
rnacentral:rRNA from 1 species